UGGGAACCUUCCCUAUGGUUCGGAAUAGCUCAGGGAAACUUGGGGUAAUACCGGAUAAGCCCUUCGGGGGAAAGAUUUAUCGCCAUUGGAUGGGCCCGCGUCGGAUUAGCUAGUUGGUGAGGUAACGGCUCACCAAGGCAACGAUCCGUAGCUGAUCUGAGAGGACGAACAGCCGCACUGGGACUGAGACACGGCCCAGACUCCUACGGGAGGCAG
rnacentral:rRNA from 1 species